rnacentral:rRNA from 1 species
ACACGUGGGUAACCUACCUAUAAGACUGGGAUAACUUCGGGAAACCGGAGCUAAUACCGGAUAACAUUUGGAACCGCAUGGUUCUAAAGUGAAAGAUGGUUUUGCUAUCACUUAUAGAUGGACCCGCGCCGUAUUAGCUAGUUGGUAAGGUAACGGCUUACCAAGGCAACGAUACGUAGCCGACCUGAGAGGGUGAUCGGCCACACUGGAACUGAGACACGGUCCAGACUCCUACGGGAGGCAGCAGUAGGGAAUCUUCCGCAAUGGGCGAAAGCCUGACGGAGCAACGCCGCGUGAGUGAUGAAGGGUUUCGGCUCGUAAAACUCUGUUAUUAGGGAAGAACAAAUGUGUAAGUAACUGUGCACAUCUUGACGGUACCUAAUCAGAAAGCCACGGCUAACUACGUGCCAGCAGCCGCGGUAAUACGUAGGUGGCAAGCGUUAUCCGGAAUUAUUGGGCGUAAAGCGCGCGUAGGCGGUUUCUUAAGUCUGAUGUGAAAGCCCACGGCUCAACCGUGGAGGGUCAUUGGAAACUGGGAAACUUGAGUGCAGAAGAGGAAAGUGGAAUUCCAUGUGUAGCGGUGAAAUGCGCAGAGAUAUGGAGGAACACCAGUGGCGAAGGCGACUUUCUGGUCUGUAACUGACGCUGAUGUGCGAAAGCGUGGGGAUCAAACAGGAUUAGAUACCCUGGUAGUCCACGCCGUAAACGAUGAGUGCUAAGUGUUAGGGGGUUUCCGCCCCUUAGUGCUGCAGCUAACGCAUUAAGCACUCCGCCUGGGGAGUACGACCGCAAGGUUGAAACUCAAAGGAAUUGACGGGGACCCGCACAAGCGGUGGAGCAUGUGGUUUAAUUCGAAGCAACGCGAAGAACCUUACCAAAUCUUGACAUCCUUUGAAAACUCUAGAGAUAGAGCCUUCCCCUUCGGGGGACAAAGUGACAGGUGGUGCAUGGUUGUCGUCAGCUCGUGUCGUGAGAUGUUGGGUUAAGUCCCGCAACGAGCGCAACCCUUAAGCUUAGUUGCCAUCAUUAAGUUGGGCACUCUAGGUUGACUGCCGGUGACAAACCGGAGGAAGGUGGGGAUGACGUCAAAUCAUCAUGCCCCUUAUGAUUUGGGCUACACACGUGCUACAAUGGACAAUACAAAGGGCAGCUAAACCGCGAGGUCAUGCAAAUCCCAUAAAGUUGUUCUCAGUUCGGAUUGUAGUCUGCAACUCGACUACAUGAAGCUGGAAUCGCUAGUAAUCGUAGAUCAGCAUGCUACGGUGAAUACGUUCCCGGGUCUUGUACACACCGCCCGUCACACCACGAGAGUUUGUAACACCCGAAGCCGGUGGAGUAACCAUUU